CUUAAGCAUAUCAAUAAGCGGAGGAAAAGAAACCAACAGGGAUUACCUCAGUAACGGCGAGUGAAGCGGUAACAGCUCAAAUUUGAAAUCUGGGUCUUUCACGCUCCGAGUUGUAAUUUGUAGAAGAUGCUUCGGGUGCGGCUCCGGUCUAAGUCCCUUGGAACAGGGCGUCAUAGAGGGUGAGAAUCCCGUAUGUGAUCGGUGGCCUGCGCCCGUGUGAAGCUCUUUCGACGAGUCGAGUUGUUUGGGAAUGCAGCUCAAAAUGGGUGGUAUAUUUCAUCUAAAGCUAAAUAUUGGCCAGAGACCGAUAGCGCACAAGUAGAGUGAUCGAAAGAUGAAAAGCACUUUGGAAAGAGAGUUAAACAGUACGUGAAAUUGUUGAAAGGGAAGCGCUUGCAACCAGACUUGCGCGUUGUUGAUCAUCCGGGGUUCUCCCCGGUGCACUCGACCUCGCUCAGGCCAGCAUCGGUUUCGGUGGUUGGAUAAAGGCCUUGGGAAUGUAGCUUCUUUCGGGGAGUGUUAUAGCCCUCGGUGCAAUGCAGCCUACCGGGACCGAGGACCGCGCUUCGGCUAGGAUGCUGGCGUAAUGGUUGUAAGCGACCCGUCUUGAAACACGGACCAAGGAGUCUAACAUCUAUGCGAGUGUUUGGGUGUCAAACCCAUGCGCGUAAUGAAAGUGAACGGAGGUGAGAACCCUUUAGGGUGCAUCAUCGACCGAUCCUGAUGUCUUCGGAUGGAUUUGAGUAAGAGCAUAGCUGUUGGGACCCGAAAGAUGGUGAACUAUGCCUGAAUAGGGUGAAGCCAGAGGAAACUCUGGUGGAGGCUCGCAGCGGUUCUGACGUGCAAAUCGAUCGUCAAAUUUGGGUAUAGGGGCGAAAGACUAAUCGA
rnacentral:rRNA from 1 species